UAUUUUUAUUGGUAGAAAGACAUCUUCCUGUGUACCUGAUUGGGCAAGGAAGGGCAAGUCUGCACGCCCCUUACCUAUUAUCGCUCUCCCUGGACGGCGGAGAGAAAGACAGCCGUAAAGUCUUCCCUACUUUGGCUUCCUCUAAGCGCCUUUCCCUUUUCAAUGUUGGUAGGGGUCGAGCACAAACAGCCCAUACGGCGGCAAGCGGGACAGGGAGACGGGAAGAAUGCAAAAAUCUCCAGAUGAGGAGCACAUCGCACUAGCUGUGGGAUCCUGAGAACCCAAUCCUGCUGUCUCCUGAAUGGAGUGAGAACACCUGAAAUCCUAGUACUGGCUCCAGACAAUUAACCAAGUUCGCACUCCCUGUUCACUCUGCUCAGAUCCUUGAAUCUCCGGCUUUGAGCACCCGGAAGAGUUUAUGAAGGUGUCUGCAAACCUUGAGGUUUCCUCGUUUGUCUUGCAAUCGGACAUUCAGAAAAGCGUUUAAGUCCUUCCCAAUAGAAGUUCCGUUUAGGUCACGUCCUGUGUGUCGCACUGGCGUUUGCGCGGGAGCUACGUUAAUUUUUGGAAAGAUUAAACAGAUGGUCCUCUCUUGUGAUAUUCUCAGAGUCCCUCUUGCUACAAAUGCGGACACCAGAAGGCUACUGCUUGAAGGACAGAGGCACCUUCAGGGAAAAGCACGUCUACCCAAAGAAGAGGGAGAAGUCUGUUAUGAAAAAAGUCCUUGUGGCAGACCCCUGCUCCCUGCGACCGCCUCGGAGUCUGCGUUAGCGUAGCACCAGCUUCCCACCCCAGAUGCAAGAAGCAAAGGAUUAUUUCCGGAAAAACUGAGUGUGGUUAUGACUUUGGGCCCCGCCCGGAAACGUUGAGGAACGGCUCAGUGUUCUCUCGCUCUUUGCGAUGGUCUUUGAGAUACUCUGGAAGUCAGGGCGUCCGUACAGGUGCCGCGACCCCCCCCCCCCCCCCCAGUGGGAUCCAGCAGUGCCGAGAAAGUGGCUGUGCUCCGCGGCACCCUAGAAGCCAGUCCGUCCCGCACAGAAAGAGGGAAAAGAGCGUAGACUGUUGACAGAAAAGGCUUUUUCCCUCCCGAGCUCAGGAGGGAGAGCCAUUCAUAGCAAGAAGCGAGGGAAUUACAUUCUAAAGAAAGCCACUGUAUGAUAUGUUAAUAGAAAGAAGAAAUAAACCACAGACUCCUUAUUAGCUUUCUCGCUGAAUAUCUGAGAUGGAAAACUGACAAAAUAUUUAACUUGGAGAAGCAAGCAGUAUCAUAGAAAGGACACCCAAACCCAGUCCAGCCCCUUCUGUCUACUCUGCCGUGAAAGUACCACUGAACCCAGCACCCCAACACACACGCAGUCGGUGGGACUGAGGACUGAACUUCCAGUCUCACGUAUUCAUGCCACCGGCUCGCAUUCCCAGACCACUCAACCACAUUUUUGGUUUCCUGAUGAGUUGGUCUUGAACUUGCUGCCCUCCUCCCUUCAACCCCCGAAGUUGCAAUGUGCCACACCUGUCUCCCUUGUCACUACAUUGAUGGUUAUUAGUUCUCACUUUGAAACCAGCUUCAAGUCUUGCAAGACUUCAAGGGGUAUUUUCAAACAUCCUGCUAGGUGUGAAUUUGCACCUGAGACAGAAUACUGUCGAGAGGGCCGGAAGCAAUAUUCAAAAGCAAUAUUCAAUCUGAUCCCAGUGUAUUAAUUAAAGGAGAGUCGAUAAGAAAAGACAGGCAUUUACUUAAAGUUAUUGCUACCACCUGUCAACUUUUUAUUUUGACUAGAUUUCAUGGAUUAUUCAAAGAACUAGGAAAUAUGCUGGGGAGGUGGGGUGUAGAUAGUUACAUGGCCAAAACACUGACCUCCUUUGUGUGUGUAUGUGGUGGCGGUGGGAGCUGUCUGCUGAUAGAGAAGAAGAGACACAAAGGACAAAGGAAACGCUCUUUAAUCAAUCCUACCAACUAGGCAAAAAUAAAUAGAAGACUUGUUUCAGCAGCAGAAGCCAACCGUUGACAACUGAGCGAAGCCACCUGCAAGAGGCUGAGCACAGGCUGCCCAGAGAUCCCAAUACUUUGUCCCGCACAGGGACGGACAGUGUUCCGUGUAAGAUCAGAGUGUAAACAUGUUGAACUGUGAGGCCGCAGCUACACUCUGCGGCUGGGGCACAGAAGGGGCCAAGAACAACCCAGUAGAUUGGAAUGCAGGGUUUGGUUACAAUAAAAAAAAAAUAUCCAUACUAAAAUGACAUUUCAACUAAAAUGAAAUUUUCAUAUGAAAUUUCAUUUUUAUGCCAUAGAAUAUUAUUAUUCUUUUGAUCCUCCCCCCACCCCAGCAAUUACAAUAUGUUAAAACCAUUCUUAUUCUUAGCAUACCAUCCUUACAAACUCAGGUGAUGGAUUAGAUUGGGACCACGAACUAGAUUGGGCUGUCCUUCAUCUAACUAGUUCAUUUAAAACAACAACAACAAAAAAAACCAAGAUUUUCCAGUACUCGGGAUGUAGAGGCAGAAAGUACAGGGUUCGAAGUCAUUGCUGGCCACAUAACAAGCUCAAGGUCAGACCCAUGCUACAGGAAGCCUGCCUCAAAACAGACAAACCUAACAAAACUAACCACCGGGGGGAAUGAAGUGAGGCCUCAGCAGUUACAAGCCCUUACUGCCCUUCCAGAGGACCCAGGUUCACUUCCCAGCACCCAUCCUGGGAGACUCACAACUGUGUGUCACUCUAGCUCCGAAGAUCCAACAUCAUCUUCUGGGCUCCAUAAGCUGCACUCAUGUGUACAUACCCACAAACACACAUCCAUAUGCACAUGUACAUACUCUAAAACAAAAGUAAAUUUCUUUUCAGACUUUUGUUUUGCUUAUUUUGCUAAGUGCUGUGAUGGUCUGAAUAAGAAUGGCCCCCAUAGGCUCUUACAUUUAAAGGCUUUGUCGUCAGGGAGUCGUGCUACUUGAGAAGGGUUAGGAGGUGUGGAUUAGGAGUUGCUGAGGCUUUGUGGGAGGAAGUGAGUCACUGGGGGUGGGUUUGGAGGUUUCAAAACCACAAACCAAGUCAGGCGGUGGUGGCACACGCCUUUAAUCCCAGCACUCGGGAGGCAGAGCCAGGUGGAUCUCUGUGAGUUCGAGGCCAGCCUGGGCUACCAAGUGAGUUGCAGGAAAAGGCGCAAAGCUGCACAGAGAAACCCUGUCUCGAAGAAAAAAACAAACAAACAAACCAGGCCUAGUGUCUUUCUCUUCCUGCUACCUAUGGAUCCAGAACUCUCAGCUCCUUCUCCAGCACCAUGUCUGCCUGCAGGCUGUCACAGUCCCUGCCAUGAUGACAAUGGACUAAACUUCCGAAACUGUAAGCCAGCUCCCAAUUGAAUGUUUCUUUUAUAAGAGUUGCCUGGUCAUGGUGUCUCUUCACAGCAAUAGAACAGUGACCAAGACAAGUACUUACUAUGGUCAGGGGUGACUGUAGAUCUCGGACUAUCAUGCCUAAUAAGAUAAACAUGAGCCCUGUCCUCGUGGAGCUUACAGUUCAAUGGUCAGACAAAUAUCUAACUAUACACAUAAUAAAUGGCUGUGGAGGAGAACUAGAAGCCUAAACUCUAAACGUAAUCUAGUCCAGGAGGUCAGAAACAGCCUGUCUGAGGAAGUGUCUUUGACACAGAGUGAAAACCGAGACUACGUUGACAUGGUGAAAACAUCUUAGGCUGGAAGUCUCGUACCUUUGGCACCUUGGUGGCCCCAGAAGGCCUGUGUUCCUGGAAAAUUCAACAUGAAGGGAAGACGGGCAAGCAGAGAAGCGCUGGAAACGGGUAAAAGAAACACAUUCGGUGUCCAGCAGAUCUUAUUCAGAGUGGUCAAAUGCCAUUGAAAGCUUUCAAUCAAGGGUCAGAUUUGCAGUGUUCAAGGUCACCAAGGAGGCUGGAUCUGGGGGGCCUGGUGGGAGGGGUGUGUGGACAGGAUCCAAACAUAGUGUGCAAAAUUUCGAAGAAUGCACUCAUGCGAGCGUGCCUGUGCACUCGUGCACGCAUGCACAGACACACACACACACACACACACACACACACACACACACACACACACACGUGAGAUCAUGAGUUAGUGACAGAAGUGGUGGCUACAGGGGUUCAAAUCCUUCCAAAGACAUCUAGCCCCUCAACUCUGCACUGUGCUUGUGACUUCGAUGUUAUUAUUUUACCUAUACUAGGUACUGUUCAUUUAUUUAGUUACUUAUUUUGUACACAUGUGCACAUGUGUGCCAGAGUGCACGGGACAGCGUGCACGGAUUUGCAGUUCUCAUGUUCAACCAGGUGGAUUCUGAGGAUCAAACUCAGGUCAUCUAGGUUAUCGACGCGACGCGGUGGCAGGUGCCUCUACUGUCUGAGCUGUCUUCCGGCCCCUCCCUGGACUAGUGGUAAUGACUUACAUAUACCAACUCACUGACAUUCCACACAACUCCUUUGAGGGUCAUAGGGCGGCUGUUACCUGCCCUGGGAAGAAGUUAAAUUCAUAUGAUCAGCCGACAGGAUGGGGGAGGGGAUCAUUGCUAGAGAAAAAUAAAAGUGAGGUAGAGGAAGGAGGAGAAAAAAUCAGAGAUGCGUUCUAUAGGCCCUGCAGUUUGGCUAGAUCCUGGUCGGGAGGUAUAUUGUUUUCUGGGAACGAGGCCCAAAUGGAGCCAGGCAGCUGCCUUGGGCAUCUGUAGAAGCUCUCAUGAGAGAACUCAUUACAACACAAAUACACUCAAUGUAAUAUUUAGGAUGUUUUUAUCCACUAAAGCUCCCUCUGUUUAUCUAAGAUUCAGACCUCACCGGGCAUCCUGUGUUUUAUCUGGCAACCUCAAAGAAGCAAGCAUUCCUUCCCAUAAAUUGCUGGGUGCCAGCUGGAGACACCUGGCCCCUUGAGAAUCAGAAACUCGGCGUUAAUAGAGUAAACAAGUCCAAAAAGCCUGCUGGAAGAAUCUAGAAACCGCCAGCACAAAAUGGAGGAUUCAGUGUUUACCUUUGCCUCCAGCCUCACACUUUCACCCUCAAGACUCACUUCUCAGACUCUCCCACCUCACAGAAAACUAACAAACUCACAGGUACAGAAUGAGUGGGGUGGAUUUCCCAGGAGAGCUAGGAGUUGAAGGGAGCUUGUCCCACCAGGUCCCGCCUUCGAAACAGCUCAAAGCAGUGUCCGACAUACAAUUGACCUCUCUAUCAGUAAGUUAGACACCCACUGAUUUAACCGACUCAAACAGCCAGGAAAGGGCUCACCUAGAAUGGAGAAGGCACUGGGAUCGAUCCCAGCGCUGCAUAAACGUAUGUCCCUGUCAUCCCAGGACUGGGGAGGAUCGUCGUUGACUUUCCAAGUAGGAGGCCAGCCUAGGUUUACGACAUUUCCUCUCCUUUUUUCCUAUUAUCUCUUAAACAACACAAAUAACUAUUUUAUAGCAUUUAUAUUAUGCCAGAUAUUAAACAAUACCCUGGAAAUGUAUGUUAGGUUAUAUGCAUAUGCUAUACUAUUCUAUUUUAUUCAUUUAUUUAGUGUUGGGGAUUGAACACUGGGCCACUUGCAUGCUUAGCACAUUCAAUACAACUGAACUACAUCCCUAGUCCACUUCACUGUUUUUAUAUAAGGGACCUGAGCACUCCAAGAUUACGGUCCCCUGGGGAAGGGGCCUCAAACUAGCCCUGGUGACUGAGGGGUGACCAUGUUUUGCACGCUCUCAUCUGCAGAGCCCUUUCGUGAGCAGUGGUUUCUUGUGGCACUCUGUCAUGUCCCCUAGGCUUGGCUCACUCUGUUGACACGUCCUUUUCUCUCCUCUGCCUUCUCAACAUUCUCUCAGGGUGGCCAAGAAUUUCUCUCCUCUAGAGCAAAUUCCCAAGGUCAGCACUUUUGAAUCCCUCUCAGAAGCUUUUCAUCAGUUGACAUCUAAGACCUCGUGGUCUCAACUGCUUACAGAAGCAUUCUUCCAAACAAAAACAACCUGACAUUCUCCCAAAGAAGAAUGGAGAUGCCAGUUGUUAAGGGAAAAAAAAAAAUUGUUAAGUUUGGCAGUGGAAGCAUUCGCGGGGAGGGGGCAGGAUGUCAGAAGGAAAAA